AGAGUAUGAACGAUUAGUCUAUUAAAAUCUUUGUUUAUUAUAAAUAAUAAUUUGGGGCUAGGGUAAAAACGCCUUAAUUUUUUAAAAAGACGAUAAGACCCUAAAAGCUUUAUUUUUAUUUUAUAUGUUUAAUUUUAUAUAUAGUCUUCAUAAAAGUGUAAUUUUUAACUGGGGUAGUUUUAUUAUUUAAAUUAUUUAAGAUAGUGCUUUUGGCUAAAAGAACCUUAAAAUCAGGGUGUUGUUUAAGUUACUUUAGGGAUAACAGCGUAAUAAUUUUGGAGAGAACAUAUCUAUAAGAUUGAUUGCGACCUCGAUGUUGAAUUAAUAAAUUCCUAUUAAAGCAGUUUUUAAUAAAG
rnacentral:rRNA from 1 species